UACGUAGGGGGCGAGCGUUGUCCGGAAUCAUUGGGCGUAAAGAGCGUGUAGGCGGCUUGGCAAGUCUGACGUGAAAGCCCGCGGCUCAACCGCGGAUUGUCGUUGGAAACUGCCUCGCUAGAGUCCGGAAGAGGAGAGCGGAAUUCCUGGUGUAGCGGUGGAAUGCGCAGAUAUCAGGAAGAACACCCGUGGCGAAGGCGGCUCUCUGGGACGGUACCGACGCUGAGACGCGAAAGCGUGGGGAGCGAACAGG
rnacentral:rRNA from 1 species